rnacentral:rRNA from 1 species
UACGUAGGGGGCAAGCGUUGUCCGGAAUCAUUGGGCGUAAAGAGCGUGUAGGCGGCUCGAUAAGUCCGCUGUGAAAGUCCAGGGCUCAACCCUGGAAGGCCGGUGGAAACUGUCGGGCUAGAGUCCGGAAGAGGCGAGUGGAAUUCCCGGUGUAGCGGUGAAAUGCGCAGAUAUCAGGAGGAACACCGAUGGCGAAGGCAGGUCACUGGGCCGCAACUGACGCUGAGGAGCGAAAGCAUGGGGAGCGAACAGG